rnacentral:rRNA from 1 species
UGGGGAAUAUUGGACAAUGGGCGCAAGCCUGAUCCAGCCAUGCCGCGUGAGUGACGAAGGUCUUCGGAUUGUAAAGCUCUUUUGGCGGGGACGAUAAUGACGGUACCCGCAGAAUAAGCCCCGGCUAACUUCGUGCCAGCAGCCGCGGUAAUACGAAGGGGGCUAGCGUUGUUCGGAAUCACUGGGCGUAAAGCGCACGUAGGCGGAUGUGUCAGUCAGGGGUGAAAUCCCGGAGCUCAACUUCGGAACUGCCUCUGAUACAGCACGUCUUGAGUCCGGAAGAGGUGGGUGGAAUUCCUAGUGUAGAGGUGAAAUUCGUAGAUAUUAGGAAGAACACCGGUGGCGAAGGCGGCCCACUGGUCCGGUACUGACGCUGAGGUGCGAAAGCGUGGGGAGCAAA